GAUGAACGCUAGCUACAGGCUUAACACAUGCAAGUCGAGGGGCAGCAUGGUGGUAGCUUGCUACCACCGAUGGCGACCGGCGCACGGGUGAGUAACACGUAUCCAACCUGCCGUCAGCUUGGGGAUAGCCCUCUGAAAGGAGGAUUAAUACCCGAUGUGGUUGUGUUCCUGCAUGGGGAUGCAAUUAAAGAUUCAUCGGCUGUCGAUGGGGAUGCGUCUGAUUAGCUUGUUGGCGGGGUAACGGCCCACCAAGGCACCGAUCAGUAGGGGUUCUGAGAGGAAGGUCCCCCACAUAGGAACUGAGACACGGUCCUAACUCC
rnacentral:rRNA from 1 species